rnacentral:rRNA from 1 species
CUUUGAUCAUGGCUCAGGAUAAACGCUGGCGGCGCACAUAAGACAUGCAAGUCGAACGGACUUAACCGAAAUGUUUACAUUUUGGAGCGGUUAGUGGCGGACUGGUGAGUAACACGUAAGCAACCUGCCUAUCAGAGGGGAAUAACAGUGAGAAAUCAUUGCUAAUACCGCAUAUGCUGUGAGUAUCGCAUGAUACAAACAGGAAAGGAGCAAUCCGCUGAUAGAUGGGCUUGCGUCUGAUUAGAUAGUUGGUGGGGUAAUGGCCUACCAAGUCGACGAUCAGUAGCCGGACUGAGAGGUUGAACGGCCACAUUGGGACUGAGAUACGGCCCAGACUCCUACGGGAGGCAGCAGUCGGGAAUAUUGCACAAUGAAGGAAACUCUGAUGCAGUGACGCCGCGUGCAGGAAGAAGGUUUUCGGAUUGUAAACUGCUUUAGAUAGGGAAGAUACAAGACAGUACCUAUAGAAUAAGCUCCGGCUAACUACGUGCCAGCAGCCGCGGUAAUACGUAGGGAGCAAGCGUUAUCCGGAUUUAUCGGGUGUAAAGGGUGCGUAGACGGGAAUUUAAGUUAGUUGUGAAAUCCCUCGGCUUAACUGAGGAACUGCAACUAAAACUGAAUUUCUUGAGUGCGGGAGAGGAAAGUGGAAUUCCUAGUGUAGCGGUGAAAUGCGUAGAUAUUAGGAGGAACACCAGUGGCGAAGGCGACUUUCUGGACCGUAACUGACGUUGAGGCACGAAAGUGUGGGGAGCAAACAGGAUUAGAUACCCUGGUAGUCCACACUGUAAACGAUGGAUACUAGGUGUAGGGAAUAUUAAGUUUUCUGUGCCGUCGCAAACGCAAUAAGUAUCCCACCUGGGGAGUACGACCGCAAGGUUGCAACUCAAAGGAAUUGACGGA